rnacentral:rRNA from 1 species
GACGAACGCUGGCGGCGUGCCUAAUACAUGCCAGUCGAGCGAACGGACGAGAAGCUUGCUUCUCUGAUGUUAGCGGCGGACGGGUGAGUAACACGUGGAUAACCUACCUAUAAGACUGGGAUAACUUCGGGAAACCGGAGCUAAUACCGGAUGAUAUUUUGAACCGCAUGGUUCAAAAGUGAAAGACGGUCUUGCUGUCACUUAUAGAUGGAUCCGCGCUGCAUUAGCUAGUUGGUAAGGUAACGGCUUACCAAGGCAACGAUGCAUAGCCGACCUGAGAGGGUGAUCGGCCACACUGGAACUGAGACACGGUCCAGACUCCUACGGGAGGCAGCAGUAGGGAAUCUUCCGCAAUGGGCGAAAGCCUGACGGAGCAACGCCGCGUGAGUGAUGAAGGUCUUCGGAUCGUAAAACUCUGUUAUUAGGGAAGAACAUAUGUGUAAGUAACUGUGCACAUCUUGACGGUACCUAAUCAGAAAGCCACGGCUAACUACGUG